UGUCACGCGUGUCUGUGAAAUUAUGAAUGGACACAGAGCAUGGUGUGGUGUGAGAGCGAUGCAGAGGAAGGGAGGGAUGGAGAGAGGAAAGGCGUAUCACUAGAGACACAGGCUUAUCAUCUGGCAGCACAGCCUCUUUGUCAAACGUGAGGAAGGAGCCGGCCCUGAGCGAGUAAUCAAGAUAAACAGCGUCUCUCUUGUCUCUCCUGCUGCACUUAUCCAACAUGGACCAGAAGACCACAUCACCACAGAGGCAUAUGGUGAAGAGCAGGUCCAAGUCUACUGAAGAAAUCCAGCAAGCCAAGAAGGCAUUCCAUAUACCUCAGAAGUCUCUACCUGGUGGAUCAGAUUUGGACAAAGUGAAGGAAGGACAAGAAGAAUCUGAAGCUCCAACAUCAGCCUCAGAAGAGCUGAAGUAAUAUACAGGGUCUGGAAGAAUGCAAACACACACACACACACACACACACACACACACACACACACACACACACACACACACACACACACACACACA